UGAACGCUGGCGGCGUGCUUAACACAUGCAAGUCGUACGAGAACUCUUUAGCUUGCUAAAGAUAGUAAAGUGGCGUACGGGUGAGUAACGCGUGGGUAAUCUACCUCUGAAUUUGGGAUAACAUUGCGAAAGCGAUGCUAAUACCGGAUAACAUCCAUAAAAUCUCGAUUUUUUGGAUCAAAGGUGGCCUCUACAUGUAAGCUACUGUUUGGAGAUGAGCCCGCGUACCAUUAGCUUGUUGGCGGGGUAAUGGCCCACCAAGGCCGCGAUGGUUAGCUGGUCUGAGAGGAUGAUCAGCCACACUGGAACUGACACACGGUCCAGACUCCUACGGGAGGCAGCAGUGAGGAAUUUUGCGCAAUGGGCGAAAGCCUGACGCAGCAACGCCGCGUGAGUGAUGAAGGCCUUCGGGUCGUAAAGCUCUGUCAAGUGGGAAGAACCUGCUAAGAACCAAUACAGCUUAGCACUGACGGUACCACUGAAGGAAGCACCGGCUAACUCC
rnacentral:rRNA from 1 species